rnacentral:rRNA from 1 species
AAAUGCUUCCGGUACAUUCAUCAUUAUGAUCGGACGCUCAAAGUCUCGGAUCGACGCGGAGGCUCGGAGGUAGUUGAUAAAAUAAAGAGGAAAAGGAAAAACUAAUUUCUUCUUCUGGUGCUCCCUUCCGGUCCAAUGCGGCUCUAAAUCUCUCUCCGCCGCCGCGCCGUCGCCGACGCCUCACGACCGGAACGUCGCCGCCACUGACGCGCCUCGACGCCGCCGCCACUGACGCGCCUCGACGCCGCCGCCGUCGCCGUCCCUGCUCUCUCCACCCCGUCCGCGAGCUUCGACAUCGGUCUUUGAGACCAGUCCCCGCCGGUUGACGCCCCUUGUUAAAUCCGCCCGUCCGCGACCCUGAGGCGCUCGGCGGCAGCGAGGAGGAUGCCUGGCCUACCUUUACCUGCCCGGGACGCAGCGGACGCUGGGUGUGAAUUCAGUUACCCUCAGUCUGCAGACCAGAUGCGCCAGCAACAGCUGAGAGCUCGAUUAUCUCCAGAUGAGCAGCUUGCUGCUGAAGAAAGUUUUGCGUUGUACUGCAAGCCAGUUGAGCUAUACAAUAUUAUUCAGCGGCGAGCCAUUAGAAAUCCCGCUUUUCUGCAAAGAUGCCUUCAUUACAAGAUACAUGCAAGCCGAAAAAAGAGGAUUCAGAUAACGGUAUCACUAUCUCGAAGUACAAAUACUGAGUUGCCAGAACAGAAUAUCUUUCCUCUUUAUGUUCUGUUGGCUACACCUACUAGUAAUAUUUCGCUUGAAGGGCAUUCUCCGAUAUAUCGAUUCAGUCGGGCUUGUUUGCUUACAGCUUUUAGUGAAUUUGGUAAUAAAGGUCGCACCAAAGCUACAUUUAUAAUUCCAGACAUCAAGAAUUUAUCAACCUCCCGAGCUUGCAACCUUAACAUUAUCCUUAUCAGCUGUGUUUCGGAAGGGCAAGUUGGGGAAAAUCUUGGUGAAAGUAACUUCUCUGUGGACCAUGUGGAAGGCUCUGCUCUCCAAAAGCUUGAAGGGAAAUGUUUCUGGGGUAAAAUACCAAUUGAUCUACUUGGUUCGUCUUUGGAGAACUGUGUAACUUUAAAUUUGGGACAUACAGUGGAGUUGGCUUCUGCAGUUAGUAUGAGCCCAAGUUUCUUAGAGCCGAAAUUUAUGGAGCAGGACAGUUGCUUGACAUUUUGCUCUCAUAAGGUUGAUGCUGCGGGUUCAUAUCAACUCCAAGUAGGCAUAUCUGCUCAAGAAGCUGGUGCAAAAGACAUGUCUGAAUCUCCAUAUAGUAGUUACUCAUACAGUGGUGUCCCACCUUCAUCAUUACCACAUAUCAUAAGGUUAAGAGCUGGUAAUGUGCUUUUCAACUUCAAGUACUACAACAAUACUAUGCAAAAGACUGAAGUCACUGAAGAUUUUGCUUGCCCCUUCUGCUUGGUAAAAUGUGGAAGCUACAAGGGUUUGGGGUGUCACUUGAACUCAUCACAUGACCUAUUCCACUUUGAGUUUUGGAUAUCUGAAGAAUGCCAGGCUGUUAAUGUUAGUCUGAAGACUGAUGUCUGGAGAACUGAGCUUGUGGCUGAGGGAGUUGAUCCAAGACAUCAAACAUUUUCCUACUCCUCAAGGUUUAAGAAGCGUAGAAGGUUGGGAAUGUUGGGAACCACAGCUGAGAAAAUAAGCCAUGUACAUCCACAUAUCAUGGAUUCAGAUUCACCUGAAGACGCCCAGGCAGUGUCUGAAGAUGACUUUGUGCAGAGGGAGGAAGAUGAUAUUUCUGCACCACGUGCUUCUGUUGAUCCUGCUCAAUUAUUACAUGGUAGCAAUCUUUCACCACCCACAGUACUACAGUUUGGGAAGACAAGGAAACUAUCUGCGGAGCGAGCUGAUCCCAGAAACCGGCAACUCCUGCAGAAACGUCAGUUUUUCCAUUCUCACAGGGCACAGCCAAUGGCACUGGAACAAGUUUUCUCGGACCGUGAUAGUGAAGAUGAAGUUGAUGAUGACAUCGCCGAUUUUGAAGAUAAACGGAUGCUUGAGGAUUUUGUUGACGUUACAGACGAUGAGAAACUUAUUAUGCAUAUGUGGAAUUCAUUUGUUCGGAAACAAAGGGUGCUAGCUGAUGGUCAUAUUCCUUGGGCCUGUGAGGCAUUCUCCCGGCUUCAUGGAAAACAUCUUGUACAGAAUCCUCCUCUACUAUGGAGCUGGCGUUUCCUUAUGAUUAAACUCUGGAACCACAGUCUAUUAGAUGCCCGCGCCAUGAAUGUCUGCGGCACAAUUCUUCAAGGCUACCAAAAUGAAAGCUCGGACCCCAAGAAAAUGUGAGUCGAGCAUAGUGCGCUCAUUAUAAUUUAAAUCAAGUGGGUGUUUGGAGGAGGCCUUAGGAGCAGGCUAAAGAGAGGUGAAAGCUGCACCUGAGGCCAUGGAGGACUAUUCUCGAUUCUAUUUAUCGAUCGGUUGUGUUGAAGCAGCAGUGAUCCGGAUGAGAUGUGUUUACAUGGAUUGUUGUUGUUCGUCGUGUUCUGUUCCAUGGAUAAGCGCCUUUAGUGUUGCAGAACUUGCCGUAUGGUCUGCAAACUUGAAUCAGUGUUCCUUGCUACAAUAAAACCUAUCUAAAAUUAUACCUUGCGUAAGCGUGUGCAAAAUUGUCAUGCCGUUUAGAAAUCACAGAGACUAGCACCGCAAGGUCCUGACUUGGUGU